AUGGUGACGGUGCCAGAUGUACCGGCGACCCUUGUGUUAACAGGAUUGUGUGUCGCUCUUCUCAUCACAGGAUCAUCUGGGACCUUCUGUACCACCAGUGUGGCUUCCCUGGAUUUAGGAUGCCUCCUGCGGUGGGAUUGUCCUCAGGCCAACGCUAACACCACCACCUACACCGUCCAAACUAAGACUCAGGGAGAUCCGUGGCAGGACGUGGAGGGGUGUGUGCGGAUCUCCGCCCAGCACUGUGACGUGUCCCAGGCCUUCUCUGACUUUGAACUCUACAACAUGAUCCGCCUGGGCCUCCACCAGGGCCCUGGGAGCCCAGUCUGGACAAAACCACGCAAGUUUGACCCAAGUGAUUUCAGUCAGUAACCUACCUCUCUGCUCUCAAGACCAAUCACAUAUCUAAAAUGCUGGUUUGUUGUUCCAAUCAAAUCAAAUGUCACGUAGAGAGCAUUUAAAAAUCUCAUUACACUGCAGAAUUCAAAUGGAUGUGGCUAAAGCUGCUGACAUGAGUAGGUUGGUGUGAUUGAAAUGACAAAGUGGCUUCUUCCCUUCCCCUCUCCUCUCCUCAGCCUUCAACAGCCCCUCCAUCUCUGUGUCUCUGUCUAGAGAGAGGCUGGUAGUGGAGGUGCACUUCCCAUGUUCUACCAACAGAGGGUGCUUUCCUCUGCAGAGCUGCUGUCCACUGUCAGAACUGAUUGACCCCUGGGUCACAGUGACCGUAUAUAACCAACAUAACCACUCUGACUACAAGGUAUCCCCCUGCUUGUGCCAUCUACAAUACCACCUUUUGUUCACCCUCCAUCUUCUCUCUUUCUUUCUGUCUCUGUCUCUCUCUCACACUCAUGGUCCCUCCCUUUCCCCUGCUGCUAUGUAAGUGAAUCUGUGGAGUACACUUCUUAAAGUGCUCCAACCAUAUACGGUCAUGUUGUCCAGUCUAUGGUGUGUGUUGUUUGUGUGCAUCCGGUUAGUACAAGCUCCACAAGUGCUCUCUCUCUCNNNNNNNNNNCUACUUAUGCAAUAUCAUGGUUUAGUGAGAUGGAAAUAGCACAGAGAGGAAGUGACUGCCGGGGGGUGAUGUUCAGAGCAUGCGCCUUGCAGUCACUUGUGUUUGUCUGCCCCUUUAUGCCUUUACACACAAUAGAUUUACCCCAUGUAAACUUUCCUUUUGGGAUGGUUGUAACUGAACUAGAGCGCGAUGAAGCGAGCUGAAGUCUGUGAGCUGGAGCUGUAAAUAAUGGCUCUGGGGUUUCCCUAUGUUCAGGUCUAGGAUCAGAUCCCCCCCCCCCCCUCC
rnacentral:lncRNA from 13 species